CUUAAAAUUGGUAUCAGAAAUUAAGGAGAAAAAAAACUUAAGAGAAGCCAACACAAAGGCAAAAAUUAAGAAACCUCCUCUUUCUCUCUCUCGAUCUUGUGGAAACCCUUAGACAGUUCGAAAUUAUCUCCCUUAUGUGCUAGUCACUAUUCCAAAGGCUAAUAGCAGCCCGUGAUUUACCUCUUCCGUGUUGACCCUGGGACGGAUUGACGAGGGCGCGGGGGACGAGCGUAUUCACCUUUUGUCACCUUAGGCAGUCCGAAACCCUUUGGCUCCACUUUGCCCCUUCGCCGAUGGUGCUCGCGGUAGAGGAGUUCUUCCACGAGGAGGUUGAGCACCCUAUGUUCUAUAUGUUGCUCUGUUGCGUUACUCCUCCUCCACUCCCUGUGUCAGCCCUAGCUCGAUCGAAGAGUGAUUUGGUGCUCUAUCUCGUUAAAGACAUUAUUUUAUUAAAGCACUUAACAAGACUGAAGUAAGGAGCAAGCACUGAGAAGAGGAAAAACACGCCAAUGAUGGAGGCUCACUGCCUCGCUCAGCCUUAGAUCUACGACUUCAACCCCUUCGUCUCUUCAAUUCGAGGAGCCCCACAAUGAGUGCCUUAGAUCUUGUUUAUUCUUUGACCUAUGUCUCUGUAUUGUUAAUAUUUAUAACAUAGUGAAAUUUGUGUGUGAUUAAUAUUUUAUAAUCCAAAUAUCAUAGGAAUGGUUUUUUUGAUCUAUGUCAGAAUGCUACUUUUCUGACCAUUGGUAUUUACAGGUUGCCAUUAAGAAGUUGAAAUGAAAGUAUUACUCAUGGGAGAAGUGUUUGAAUCUCCAAGAAGUGAAGAUUAAACCAUCCCAACAUUGUCAAGCUCAAAGAGGUUAUUAGAGAGACUGAUAUGCUAUACUUAGUUUUUUAGUACAUGGGAAGAUAACUUGUAGGAAGGGAUGAGCUUGACCCCUUAGGCAAGGAGUGGUUCUAAGAAUAUUUUAGAGCAAGCUAUAGAGUUUAGCAAUGUCAAAGGUGAUCACCCAGUGCAGGGGAUGGAUGACAAAGUACAAGUGACCAAGAUUAACCUCUCUUUCUCUCUUAAUACACAUAUAUCACUCAUUAAUUUAAUAUUGGUAAUUACUUCAGAAGGCAGGGAACAGAAAGGGAAAUAUGGGAGGGCCCAAGAUAUCAUAUUCUAAGGUGAAAUAUUUUCUAUAGCUCUUAAUUUAUGUAACUAAUUAAGAUAUUUCUAUUUUCCUCAAGAAAGAUGUAGAAACAAUUUUUUUAAUGUUGGCAAUGUGUUUAAUUAUUUUACGGGCAGAUGUUGAGAAGCUUGCUCAAAAUAGGAAGGCAGCUAGA